rnacentral:rRNA from 1 species
GUGGGGAAUUUUGGACAAUGGGCGCAAGCCUGAUCCAGCAAUGACGCGUGUGUGAAGAAGGCCUUCGGGUUGUAAAGCACUUUUGGCAGGAAAGAAAUAGCGCGUGCUAAUACCAUGCGCGAAUGACGGUACCUGCAGAAUAAGCACCGGCUAACUACGUGCCAGCAGCCGCGGUAAGACGUAGGGUGCAAGCGUUAAUCGGAAUUACUGGGCGUAAAGCGUGCGCAGGCGGUUUUGUAAGACAGGUGUGAAAUCCCCGGGCUCAACCUGGGAACUGCACUUGUGACUGCAAGGCUAGAGUGUGUCAGAGGGAGGUGGAAUUCCGCGUGUAGCAGUGAAAUGCGUAGAGAUGCGGAGGAACACCGAUGGCGAAGGCAGCCUCCUGGGAUAACACUGACGCUCAGGCACGAAAGCGUGGGGAGCAAACAGGAUUAGAAACCCUGGUAGUCC